GCCGGAUCAGUGUUAUGGGAGUCCUUGGUUCCUAGCUUCUGUUUAUGUACCCUCCUGAUUGGGUAACCUCCCACAUCUGUGUGUGUUACGUGGUUACCAUAUGAGGUAGUACGUAACCUAUCUUCAUAAUGGUAAAUCAAACAGCCCGGCAGACACUCUCACCUGGAGUGCCGUGGGGCUUAAAUUCUCCUGAGCUGUUACUUUACUGCGUUCCUAGCCUCGCUCCCG